ACGACCUUACUUGAACAGGAUCUGUUCUAUAGGCUCGUACAACUGUGUCCUUGAGUGUUAAGGAGACAAGCAACCCAAUCUGGAUGAUGACGGAAAGAUUCGAGAUCAGAGCGUGAUUAACGGCCUAAAUUCUUUGGGAUUGGUGGCUUCGGAGGAUCGUUUUCAGCGGGUGUCUAGUCUACUCACCUGCUGGGGUGGUCUCGAAUCUGUCUGACAGACG